rnacentral:lncRNA from 1 species
AUUUCGAGUAUCUUAUCCUUCAGGCAAAAUGGAAUUCUCCUCCCCCCUCCUUCUUCUCCCUCUCUUGUCAUUCAACAUUUGUAUCCUCCAAAUCGAUAAUGUGAACAGCAGCAUAAUUGGAAAUAAAAGAUGAUCUGAAAUCCACAGGAAAUUAGGUUGAGGCGCGUGGAGGAAAUACAGUCUCAUCCUGGACACAAGGUAGAUUUUUAUGAGAUGUGCCCCUACUCUGCAGUUUCUCCAGGAGUGUUUUCCCAGUGUCUCUGUCCUCAAUGGAAAGAAAUGGCCGUAUGUGAGACCGGAAGGUGGUCCAUAAACAUGAGAAUGGAGGAGUCAAUAGGAGGCUUCCUCUGCAUUCCCUUACAACAAUCACUUUGAGCUCUUUCUCCUCUCCGCAGGAGCAUUAUCUUGCUUUAUAGGGCAAGUCCAGGAAGCAGUGUGUGACAAAGAAUGAGUACCCAGUGCUGGAGGGCAUGGAGCAAUCCAUCGGCAGCUCCCGGUGGUGAUGAGUGAGUGUCCUGCGGCAGAGGGUGGGGUGGCAUAGCAAGAACAGUUGAAGGCAGGAAGUGGGAAAGCAUUCUGGUUACUGUCAUGCCAAGGGUCAGCGGCCAACAGUCCGGGAGAGUCUCCUUGCAUCUGUCUUCCUCUAACAAGCCAUGGCUGAAGCCCAGGGUGCCUGCUGGGCCUGAGAUGAGGGGCUCUGGGCAAGCUGUGCAUUCCAAUGGCCACCACAUCCUCCAGUUCAGAUCCUGACCCUGGUGGAUGGGUGUGUGUGGCCCAUAAAUCAACUGGACGCACUUCCCUUUGUUUGCACACUGCCACCGACACAGGCUUGCUAUGAAGAAGAAGAAAUUUUGCUCAGAGGAAACUAGAAAACCUGAACGUGUACACAAUGCUGACAUAUUUUGUUGCUUUCACCCCUCUUAAGAAUUUCUACCAUUCCUUUGAGAAGUUGAUUAUUUUUAAAACUGUGUAUCAUUUUGUCUUCUUGGGCAAAUUGCACAGUCAAUGAUAUGUUUCACCGAGUAUGUAAAUCCCUUUUACAUAUUUCAAAAUAAUAUCUAAUUAAAAUGUCAAGGUUAUAGCUCAUGAGGCUAGAGUGGACAGGGCUCCACCCCCUCCCUCAGCCUCUCAAAGUAACAUUUAAAGUAUGUCCUAUAAUUAGGAGCAAUUAUAAAUUCCAAUUAAAAAGAAACCUGCAUAACUCUGACAGUAUUUUUCUUUGAUGUUACUGGCUUUAAUUUAUGUGCUUGUUCCACCAAAUUGUCUUCACUUCCUCAGAUAUGUUCUCAGACAGAAAAGGCUUCCAAAACUGCAAAGAGAAAAACAGGUCAAAUCUGAGAAAAGUAGUGAAGUUCAUUAAAAAGGGUUAUUGCAUCUAUAACUUCUGGACUUGGUGCUCAUUGAUUAGAGAUUAAACAUCAUCCUUUGUACUACUCAGAUUGGGAUUUUUAAUUAGGAUGUCAUUAUUACACAGAUAUACUGAAUGCCAUAUUGAUUUUUGAGACCUUUUGAAAUAAUAGCACUGCUUAUGCAAAAUGAAAAUCAUAAUAGAUUAUUGACUUCUUCAGGAGUUUUGAUCCAAGGGUACCUCCC